rnacentral:tRNA from 1 species
ACCUGGGUGGCUGAGUUGGUUAAGCAACUGACUCUUGAUUUUGGCUCAGAUCAUGAUCUUACAGUUUUGUGGGUUCGAGACCCACAUCAGGCU